CGUAGGGUGCGAGCGUUAAUCGGAAUUACUGGGCGUAAAGCGUGCGCAGGCGGUUUUGUAAGCCAGAUGUGAAAUCCCUGGGCUUAACCUGGGAAUGGCAUUUGGGACUGCAAGGCUUGAGUGCGGCAGAGGAGACUGGAAUUCCCGGUGUAGCAGUGAAAUGCGUAGAUAUCGGGAGGAAUACCGAUGGCGAAGGCAGGUCUCUGGGCUGACACUGACGCUCAUGCACGAAAGCGUGGGGAGCAAACAGGAUUAGAUACCCUGGUAGUCCACGCCCUAAACGAUGUCGACUGGUGUUGGGGGUUUGACACUCUCAGUAACGAAGCUAACGCGUGAAGUCGACCGCCUGGGGAGUACGGCCGCAAGGUU
rnacentral:rRNA from 1 species